CCUUCUGCUGUGUGUGUGAGGACACAAGAUGUUGUCUAUGGAGUAGGGAAAGCCUUCACCAGACACUGAGUCUGCUGGCACCUCGAUCGUAGACUUCCCAGCCUCCAGAAUUGAAACUGGAUUAGCUUAAAAGUAGAGCAACAUCUCUCACACUUCAUAGCUCUUUACAGUUUUGACAACAAGGAUGGGUGCUGAUGGAGACAUGGCUUUCUGGAAGACCCCUUGGAUCUGGCUAAAUGACACUCUUACCAUCAUGACCACAGUUGAUAAUCACCAUGCCAAUGGCUAGAACAAACCACGAAAGGACAAAAAGGAAGGUGGCAACUCUGGUUCCCAGAAGUUCUCCGCCCAUUCCCAGAGAAGGCAUGAAUAUUCCUCCCCUUGUUUUCAAUGCUCAACAUCUUUAUUAAAGAUGCCCUGUAUCUGUGACUUCCCAGCACUCACAAGCUGAGCAGUGUUGUGGGAAGUCAGGAACCCGGAAUGGAGGGACCGGCUGAAGCCAUGGCAGAAGAACAUGGAUUGAGAAGAUUUCAUGGACAUUUAUUAGUUCCCGAAAUUAAUACUUUUAUAAUUUCUUACGCCUGUCUUUACUGCAACCUCUGAACAUAAAUUGUGAAGAUUUCAUCGACACUUAUCACUUCCCUAAUCAAUACCCUUGUGAUUUCCUAUGCCUGUCUUUACUUUAAUCUCUUAAUCCCAUCAUCUUUGUAAACUGAGGAGGAUGUAUGUCGCCUCAGGACCCUGUGAUGAUUGCGUUAACUGCACGAAUUGUUGGUAGAGCAUGUGUGUUUAAACAAUAGAAAAUCUGGGCACCUUGAAAAAAGAACAGGAUAGCAGCAAUGUUCAGGGAACAAGAGAGAUAACCUUAAACUCUGAGCACUGGUGAGCCAGAUGGAACAGAGCCAUAUUUCUCUUCUUUCAAAAGCAAAUGGGAGAAAUAUUGCUGAAUUCUUUUUCUCAGCAAGGAACAUCCCUGAGAAAGAGAAUGCGUCCCUGGGGGUAGGCCUCUAACAUGGCCGCUUCGGGGGGCAGCCGUCUUUUAUGGUCGAAGCUGUAGGGAUGAAAUAAGCCUCAGUCUCCCGUAGCGCUCCCAGGCUUAUUAGGAAGAGGAAAUUCCCGCCUAAUAAAUUUUGGUCAUACCAGUUGUCUGCUCUCAAAACCUGUCUCCUGAUAAGAUGUUAUCAAUGACAACAUGUGCCCGAAACUUCAUUAGCGAUUUUAAUUUUGCCCCGGUCCUGUGGUCCUGUGAUCUUGCCCUGUCUCCAUUUGCCUUGUGAUAUUCUAUUACCUUGUGGAGCACGUGAUCUCUGUGACUCACACCCUAUUCAUACACUCCCUCCCUUUUUGAAAAUCACUAAUAAAAACUUGCUGGUUUUGCGGCUUGUGGGGCAUCAUGGAACCUGCUGACAGUUGAUUCGUGAGCCAAGCUCCCACUUCUCAAUUCCAUGGCCAUUAAAUAAAGCCUGCACUGCUUGAUGCUC
rnacentral:lncRNA from 1 species